ensembl:lncRNA
AGGUCCAGGUUCUGGUGUAAAGCAUGUUGAGUGGAGACCGCAGAAGCAGAUCUGAUCUGUGAGAGCAAGAUUUAAUGCAGGAGGCUGUGGGAAAUCUGCUGACCUGAGAAGACCGGCUCAGAAAUGAUCUCUCAAGCUAUGACUUUCAUCAGCUGAUACUAAUGAAAGCACUUCAUUACAGGACAUUGUUUUAAAAGGAUGUUUUCUUGAAUCUGGCUCUGUGGUGGUUUCGUUUUUCAUCACUUGUCACUUGUUUAAUGUGUUUUCUUUAUUGCAUUUACUUGAUGCUUUUCUCUAAAGUGACUUAUUGAUCCAUAUGACGGGAUUCGGCUGUAAUGUUCUUUAUUCUCUUGCCUGAACAAAAAAAUAAAUAAACUGUUUUCCUCACUGAAUCAUACCUGGAAUUUUCUGAAUUUCACUAUGACAGAAAUGCAGCGAUUAACUUUCUGAAUGUUUUUCAUGUUUUGCUGCUCCACAUCGGGUUGAAAUGAAUGAAGCAGAAUCUGGGUAUCAGUUCCAAACUCGUACGAUUGUCUUUCUUCUGUGGAACAAGGAAGAUUUGUUAGAGAAUCAAUGCAAUAAUAGUCAGUGGGGUCUAAAGUUUCAAGCACCAAAAAAACAUAAAUGUGGUGUAAAAGUCAUCAUACAACUCCAGCAGACUCUUCUGAAGCCAUACGAUCACUUUACACAACUAUCGGAGGGACCUCAAAUCAGCUCAUGUUUACAGACCUUUCUGAAAAUCAAGUAUGCUUUAAAAAGAGCACUUAAGUAAU